rnacentral:rRNA from 1 species
AGAGUUUGAUCCUGGCGUCAGGAUGAACGCUGGCGGCGUGCUUAACACAUGCAAGUCGAACGAUGAUCCCAGCUUGCUGGGGGAGUUAGUGGCGAACGGGUGAGUAACACGUGAGUAACCUGCCCUUGACUCUGGGAUAAGCCUGGGAAACUGGGUCUAAUACCGGAUAUGACCUUCCAUCGCAUGGUGGUUGGUGGAAAGCUUUUGUGGUUUUGGAUGGACUCGCGGCCUAUCAGCUUGUUGGUGAGGUAAUGGGCUUACCAAGGCGACGACGGGUAGCCGGCCUGAGAGGGUGACCGGCCACACUGGGACUGAGACACGGCCCAGACUCCUACGGGAGGCAGCAGUGGGGAAUAUUGCACAAUGGGCGCAAGCCUGAUGCAGCGACGCCGCGUGAGGGAUGACGGCCUUCGGGUUGUAAACCUCUUUCAGUAGGGAAGAAGCGAGAGUGACGGUACCUGCAGAAGAAGCGCCGGCUAACUACGUG